AUGCCGCCGACGCGGACGCUCGACCACAACGCCAGCGCGCCGUCUCCGUGCUCGCCGACCAUGUACGCCUGCACGUCCUGCGCGCCCACGCCGAGGUGCUCGGCCAGGAGGCACCGGAGCCUGGCGGAGUCGAGGUCCGUGCCGGAGCCGAUCACGCGGCUCGACGGGAACCCCGAUAGCUUCCACGCCGCGUACGCCAGCACGUCCACCGGGUUCGACACCACCAGCAGAAGCGACUCCGGCGACCCCUCCGCCACCGCCGGCACGACCUCCCUCAGCAGCGCCACGUUCCUCCUCAGCUGGUCCAUCCGUGACGCCGCCGCUGUCUCCCUGGGCACCGUGAUGAUGGCCAGGUCAGAGCCCCUGGUGAGCGCGAGGACGUCGGUUCCGGCGACGAUGCGGACGCGCGGGAGGAACGCCGCGGCGUGCUGCAGGUCCAGCAUCUCACCGCGGACCCUGUCGGCCUCGGCGUCCACGAGCGCGAUCUCGUCGGCGAGUCCCUGCGUCAGGAUGGUCUGCGCGAUGGCCAUGCCCACGUUGCCGGCGCCGAUGACGGACACCUUGGUGAGCCGCUCACACGGCUGCAGCGGGGUCAUUUCCCCGUCGUGGCCGGAUGAGGGAACCUGCCGGAACAAGCCCGCGCCCUUGUCGACGUCGAAGCCGAGCUCGGACAGCGAGGACGCCUCCUUCCUCAUCAGGCUCAUGGUGUCAGUCAAAUCGAUCGGGUUGUGUUGA
rnacentral:rRNA from 1 species